CCCUUAGAUGUUCUGGGCCGCACGCGCGCUACACUGAUGCAUUCAACGAGUCUAAAACCUGGUCUGAUAGGGCUGGGUAAUCUUUUGAAAGUGCAUCGUGAUUGGGAUAGAUGAUUGCAAUUCUUCAUCUUCAACGAGGAAUGCCUAGUAAACGCAAGUCAUCAGCUUGCAUUGAUUACGUCCCUGCCCUUUGUACACACCACCCGUCGCUCCUACCGAUUGAAUGAUCCGAUGAAUACCAUGGAUUGAGAGUACGAAUGGGUUCGCUCAUUUCUGCUGCUCGAGAAGUGGAGUAAAUCUUAUCAUUUAGAGGAAGGAGAAGUCGUAACA
rnacentral:rRNA from 1 species